rnacentral:rRNA from 1 species
CACGUAGGCGGUUUGGUAAGUCUGAUGUGAAAGCCCUGGACUCAAUCCAGGAAGUGCAUUGGAUACUGCCAGACUAGAGUACAGGAGGGGUGAGCGGAAUUCCAGGUGUAGAGGUGAAAUUCGUAGAUAUCUGGAGGAACAACGGAGGCGAAGGCGGCUCACUGGACUGUUACUGACGCUGAGGUGCGAAAGCGUGGGGAGCGAACG